GACGAACGCUGGCGGCGUGCUUAACACAUGCAAGUCGAACGGAAAGGCCCUGCUUUUGUGGGGUGCUCGAGUGGCGAACGGGUGAGUAACACGUGAGUAACCUGCCCUUGACUUUGGGAUAACUUCAGGAAACUGGGGCUAAUACCGGAUAGGAGCUCCUGCUGCAUGGUGGGGGUUGGAAAGUUUCGGCGGUUGGGGAUGGACUCGCGGCUUAUCAGCUUGUUGGUGGGGUAGUGGCUUACCAAGGCUUUGACGGGUAGCCGGCCUGAGAGGGUGACCGGGAAAAAGGGGGAAUGAGAAGGAGCAGAGCCUCAGAGGGGAGGAAGAGGGGGGAAAUAGGGAAAAGGGGGGGAGAGCGGGAAGCAGCAACGCCGGGGGGGGGAGAAGGGCUUGGGGGUGGAAAACCGUUUUCGCCGGGGAAGAGGGGAGAGGAAGGGAAGGGGAUAAAAAGAACCGGGAAAAAUAGGGC
rnacentral:rRNA from 1 species